CAUUUAAUUGGGUUAUGACUCUUCUACUAGAAGCAGAGUAUUCUUGUAUUGAGAAUAUCUUAGAUGGAAAAACAACAACAAAAAAAAAACCUGCAACCUAUAUAAACUCUCAGAAAGUGUAAUUCUUGGGGAUAGAGGAGACUUCCACAUGAAAAAACAUUUACAAUCUAAACUAAAAAGUAAAUUACAAAUGCAACUUAUAUCAUUAUUGGAAGUAGUUGUGACACUGGCAAAGGAAUUGUAAAUGUAGAAUGACAACCAGUUCCUAAGUCUGAAUUUAUACAAUUAUCUUCAACAAUCAGAAAUAAUCUGACUUAAUACGUGAAUCAAAAGUUACAAGAUUUUGUAAUGUAGCAAUUACGCAUUUUGUUCAAGAGAAAACUGGAAUCUUCAGUUGUUUCAAACUGUGUAAAUGACAGCCUAAAACUAUUUCACUGUACAAAUAUACCUUAACCCCAUUUUAAGUGUGUGUGGGAACUGCUGAAUCAUGGCCUGAACCUGAGGUGAGCAAUGAGUCAGCCAUGGGAGCACAGGUGAAGGCAAUUCUCCUGUGCUGCUGGAAGGGGUGAGCUUGGCUCCACCUCUCCUAGACCCCAUUUAAAAGUUGACUACCAGGAGGGAAGGAUCUUUUUCUGGAGAUUCCUCCUUUCUGAGUUUUCCAGUGAGCCCAGGACAAGGGAAAGUUAUCAUCAUGAAUUCCUGGUAAAAAGCAGUAGGACAGGAGAGGAAAAAGGCCUGAGCAGACCAAAGGAAACCAAAUACACGUGUAAAGCAAGGAACACAAUACAAGCUCUUUUGGGGAAGCUUACCCAAUGAUGGUAAACAGAUUUUCCACUGCUGUCCAAGGCAAGCACCUGUAAACUUAGUAAGAGGCAACAAAAGGUGGUAUCAACAGCAGACUUAGCCACCACUCCCAUCCUGUUCAGAAGACACUACUCUGAGCAACACUGCUAUUGACACUGCUGUUGCUCGUCAACUCAAGGAGAUUAACCUCACAUUUCCUUUGUAUUCUGAUAUGCAAGAAGCUCUCUUGUAACAGGAGUCACACAUUGUAAAUGUUUCUGUUGUAUAAUAUUCAACAAGAACUUUAAUAUGACA